AGAGCGCUUUUUUGUUGUUGUUGUUGUUGUGCUAAGCUAAAAGGCAGAAUGCUACAGGCAUAGCUCUAAAGCAUGUAGCCUGAUGGGCAGUGUAGUCCGUGCUGCAGGGAGAAUGGACUACCAUACCCAUUAUGUGUCUCUGUGAGCGAGGGAGGGAGAGAAAGGAAAAGUCCGAGCUGUCACGGAGCAAAAACGGGAGCUGGAAGCAUGUAAAUAUAAUAAUAACCACUGCAGCCAAGAAGAGUGCCUGAGGAGCCCAUUUGAGGAGAUAAAAGAGGAAGCCAAGGCCAUCACGUAGGCACCAUAAGAGAGAAAGAAUGUGAAUGCUUAGUGUGGAGGAGGGCUGAAGCUACAAGAAUGUGAGAAACGGUCAGACACUUCGAGAUUUUGCAGGACACCCUCCCUUGCUCAUCUCCCCUCCGGAUGUUUAUGCUCAAAGUGUGUAAGGAAUAAUGAGAAUUAUAUGGAAUAAAGAGAUUGUUGAUUGAGCAUUUAUACACCGAGUGUUGUUCUUCCUUCAGCCCAAACAUCAAAGAAUUGGGAUAUUUAACAAGGUGUAGCGACCCCUCUGUGUUUCAAAUAUGGAGGCUGAUUCAAUGUGUCAUCAUAUACAAGUACAGCAAAUCAUUCACUGGAAACUCACAUUUUGGAGCUGGAGGGCUCCUCCAGAGGUUUGUUGUAAGAUUGAAGUGGUAAAUAAACUAAUGUUUCAUUUAUUAAUUUAGUGUUUGUGAUCCCAAAGUGCACAGCUAAACUCUAAAUACAAAAUGCUAGUAAUAAUAAUGACAACAACAUCUAAUACUUUGCAUGUUUUUUUAUUUGCAUACCUCAGUUCACGGUUAAGCAUCAAUUUAUGUAGUUUAUAGCUUAUCUUUACCACCUCACACAAUAAAACUUUGACUCUAACCAACCUUUAAAUUCUGCUUGUAGUGCCAAUUAACAAACCAAAGAAAAGCACUUAAGGCAAUAUGAAAUCAUUUCCAACACUUCUUAGAGAGAGAAAUGGGUUAGGGUUGGGGGGGUUACCCUAAUCCUUUAAAUUGAGUUAAAAUUGCUUGAAAAAGCCAAGUGCCGUCAGUUCACGGUUAUGCAUCAGGCUCCAUUCAAGCCACCUGCACAGAGAAGGGCCAUCAGAGUCUAAUUCCAAACACAUAUCUAUAUGCUGUUCAUCAAUAAAUCAUGAUUUUAAGAACAAAUACAGCUAAAUGAAAUGUAGUAAUGCUGAAUUACAGCAGUAUUUUUUACUUAUUGUACAAAGUAAAGCUAGUAUUUUAUUAACAUUCUGUAUUCACAUCCACCAGAAUGUACCUGAUAAGCUGUGUAACUACAACAGACCAAUGUUAUGUACAAAUGUUACUGUAUAAUAAUUACAAAAACAUUUUCAGGAUAGUUUUACAAAACUAAAUACAUUAACUUGAUGUGGGUUACAUGUAAAAAAUUUUUUUUUACAGCUGAUAUAAUCAGAAAUGAACAAUAGAUUGCUGUAAUUUUAAACUCAGUUACUACUCUAACAACAAUAUAUUGCACUUUUUUAAUAGGUGAUAUAUUAUUACAAUAAUUACAGAAAAAAUUCUAGAUUUUUCAGAUAAAAUUGUACAUUUCUGUGAUUUUAUGCCUAACAUUUUGUAUUAGAACAGUAUUUAAUCAUAUUACUAGAUACUUUGACUGUUUUUACACCUGUAAAUACUUAAUAUAAAACAAAUCUGCAAGACCAAAUAUGAUUUUAUAUAAAUUUAAAGCUAAAAACACGUGUAUUUUAUAAGAUUGGCCUGUAAAAGAACAAAAAUGUUCCAUAUUUUCAUUACAGAUAACUCGGUUCAAACUUUAAAUGUGCACAUAUCCACUCUGGCUUCUUUUUAAAUAUGUUGUUUGACAACUUCUCACAGCUGUAUUUCAAAAUGUUUUUGACAGCAUUUCCUUUAUAACCUUUUAACCUUUAUAACAGGAUUAAAUAUGUUGGGAUCAGUGCAGUCAGUGCCACAGAUCACAUAGAGACUGAUCUCAAUCUCUACAGAGUCACAGAGUUAGAAAAAGUUCACAGUGUGACAUUGAUGAGUGUUUCUAACUCAAACUGUGAACUUCUGCCGAUUAAAACACUUUAAUGUCGUAUUUAGUGACUGUAUUAAUAAAAACAGGUGCAGCAGGAAGAAAACUCGAUGUAAAACAAAGCGGUUGCUGACUCGAGAAUCCAAACAUGGCUCUUAGUGCGUUACUAUUUGUGAAUCCAGUUGAAUUUAAAGCAAGUUCAUUCUCACCUGUAGAGGCAAACAGGAGGCAGAGAGUAAAAUCCAGGAAAUAGACACACAUGUCCCAGCAGGCAUUUCAUCCACUUCUGCUCAACAAAACUGAAUAAAACUAUUCUAAAUUUCCAAAUGAUGAACAGAGUAAUCUCUCUGUCUUCUGAUGAAGGAUGUGUUAAAGUUCUUUAUUAUGAAAUCUGGCACUAAUCAAAAAACACGCCAAGGGUUAAUGGUGCACCAAAAUAUAAAUAUGAAUAAGUGCCUCUGUGGGAGCAGAUUAACUAGUGAGAAGUAUUCGUUACUUCUGCCGCGGGGGUUGUGUUUUUAGUAGCGUUUGACACGUGCAUUUAAACAUGCUACUGUCUUGAAAUUAAAGAUAAAUGCAGACACACAGAUAAGACAGACAGGAACAACUGUUCGUUACUCUACCUUUGUUUGCAAACUUUACAGUAAAACACAAAGAGGGCGGAUGAGUUCACUCAGCAGGGAGAACAGUGCAUGAGAAGUAUUGAGAGUUUAGGCCAGUAAGUUAAAUGGUUUGUUUUGUGACUUUAGUCAUCAUAAUUAUCAUAUUACACCAUAAUUACACUUUUUUUGGAUCAGCCAAUCAUGUCAAACUUUAAUCAGUUAGACAAAAAUGUAUUUUUAUGCUUUGAGUAAAUGAAAAAAAUAUAGGAAUAAAAUAAUAGCUCAAAGAAUCUUGUUAAUGCUGAUAUUUAGAGGUUCGGUCAGAUUUCAGAAUACAUAAAAAGGAAACAGUUAAGUUAUGAUGAUGUAUUUGCAGUUUUGAACGUAAACAUAAAUACACACAGACCCUGUUCGUUACUGCUGUUUCCUAAGCACAGAAUGUUUUUCAUACCUUUUCUGCAAGAGUGUUUUUUUUGUGAGUGUGUGGGUUGUGUUAGUAAUGAGGGUGUUUACAAAGUUAGACUGACUCUAAUGACAAGGAUCUGUUGUUCUCUCUGUCUCUGUCGCCCAGAGGUAAAUUCUUUAUGACAGCAGGUGCUAUCAGAUAAUGGUUUAAGGCCACACCCACCAACUGUAGGAAUAUUCAGCUGACGUGAGCAUGUGAGAUAUUUUUCUCUUCUUAUGUUUCAUCUUAUUUUCAGUUCUUCUUAGCUGCUGCCAUGGUUGAUGUAUGUUGCAAUUUAUGAAGUUGUGUUUCGUUGUGUCAGUGCUGUCUCUGACAUUUUAUUAGAAGGACUGUACGUAGGUCACAGUCGAAGAAGCUUGAUUUUAUUUUAUUGUUUUGUGCUGGGCAUGUGAGUAGGGCGCAUUUCUUAAAUAAAUCAAAACUGGAUUUUUAUAAGUAUCAAAUGUUGACAUUUUGUCAUGUUUUCAUGAAAAACAGGGAACAUGAGAGCUCGUUGUAGCUGUUGCAGGGCUUCAGAUGGACCUGUGUUAUACAGAAAAACUGGAGCAGGAGACAUGAGUUGUGUUCAGUCU
ensembl:lncRNA